GCCUGAGUGGCUCAGUCUGUGGAGCAUCUGACUUCAGCUCAGGUCAUCAUCUCAUGGUCCGUGAGUUCAAGCCCUGCAUCAGGCU
rnacentral:tRNA from 1 species